rnacentral:rRNA from 1 species
GAUGAACGCUGGCGGCGUGCUUAACACAUGCAAGUCGAACGGAAAGGCCCAAGCUUGCUUGGGUACUCGAGUGGCGAACGGGUGAGUAACACGUGGGUGAUCUGCCCUGCACUUCGGGAUAAGCCUGGGAAACUGGGUCUAAUACCGGAUAGGACGAUGGUUUGGAUGCCAUUGUGGAAAGUUUUUUCGGUGUGGGAUGAGCUCGCGGCCUAUCAGCUUGUUGGUGGGGUAAUGGCCUACCAAGGCGUCGACGGGUAGCCGGCCUGAGAGGGUGUACGGCCACAUUGGGACUGAGAUACGGCCCAGACUCCUACGGGAGGAAGCAGUGGGGAAGAUUGCACAAUGGGCGCAAGCCUGAUGCAGCGACGCCGCGUGGGGGAUGACGGCCUUCGGGUUGUAAACUCCUUUCGCUAGGGACGGAGCGUUUUUGUGACGGUACCUGGAGAAGAAGCGCCGGCUAACUACGUG